rnacentral:rRNA from 1 species
CCUACGGGGGGCUGCAGUGGGGAAUAUUGGACAAUGGGGGCAACCCUGAUCCAGCCAUGCCGCGUGUGUGAAGAAGGCCCUCGGGUUAUAAAGCACUUUCAGUGAGGAAGAACGCCUGGUGGUUAAUACCCAUCAGGAAAGACAUCACUCACAGAAGAAGCACCGGCUAACUCCGUGCCAGCAGCCGCGGUAAUACGGAGGGUGCGAGCGUUAAUCGGAAUUACUGGGCGUAAAGCGCGCGUAGGUGGCUUGAUAAGCCGGUUGUGAAAGCCCCGGGCUCAACCUGGGAACGGCAUCCGGAACUGUCAAGCUAGAGUGCAGGAGAGGAAGGUAGAAUUCCCGGUGUAGCGGUGAAAUGCGUAGAGAUCGGGAGGAAUACCAGUGGCGAAGGCGGCCUUCUGGACUGACACUGACACUGAGGUGCGAAAGUGUGGGUAGCAAACAGGAUUAGAUACACUAGUAGUC